ACUAUUUAGGCAGAUUAUUGUGAUAAAUUUAGAAUUUAUAUAGGGUUGUUAUACCAAAUAGUG
rnacentral:tRNA from 1 species